GGGAUUUUGGCUCAGUGACAGAGCGCUUGCCUAGCAUGCAUGAGGCACUGGGUUCGAUCUCCAGUACCA
rnacentral:tRNA from 1 species